ACGAACGCUGGCGGCGUGCUUAACACAUGCAAGUCGAACGGAAAGGCCUGCUUUCCCUUGUGGAUUGCGGGUACUCGAGUGGCGAACGGGUGAGUAACACGUGAGUGAUCUGCCCCCAACUUGGGUAUAAGCCUGGGAAACUGGGUCUAAUUCCCGAUAGGACUGCAGGGUGGUGCCUGUGGUGGAAAACGAUUUUCUAGUGGUUGGGGAUGAGCUCGCGGCCUAUCAGCUUGUUGGUGGGGUAAUGGCCUACCAAGGCGGCGACGGGUAGCCGGCCUGAGAGGGUGGACGGCCACAUUGGGACUGAGAUACGGCCCAGACUCCUACGGGAGGCAGCGGUGGGGAAUAUUGCACAAUGGGCGGAAGCCUGAUGCAGCGACGCCGCGUGGGGGAUGACGGCCUUCGGGUUGUAAACUCCUUUCGACCGCGAGGAAGCCACCUGGUUGGAAGGGUGGUGACGGUAGUGGUAGAAGAAGCACCGGCUAACUACGUG
rnacentral:rRNA from 1 species